UGGGUUUAAAGGGUCCGUAGGCGGUUUAGUAAGUCAGUGGUGAAAGCCCAUCGCUCAACGGUGGAACGGCCAUUGAUACUGCUAAACUUGAAUUAUUAGGAAGUAACUAGAAUAUGUAGUGUAGCGGUGAAAUGCUUAGAGAUUACAUGGAAUACCAAUUGCGAAGGCAGGUUACUACUAAUGGAUUGACGCUGAUGGACGAAAGCGUGGGUAGCGAACAGGAUUAGAUACCCUGGUAGUCCACGCCGUAAACGAUGGAUACUAGCUGUUGGAAGCAAUUUCAGUGGCUAAGCGAAAGUGAUAAGUAUCCCACCUGGGGGGUACGUUCGCAAGAAUGAAACUCAAAGGAAUUGACGGGGGCCCGCACAAGCGGUGGAGCAUGUGGUUUAAUUCGAUGAUACGCGAGGAACCUUACCAAGGCUUAAAUGUAGGUUGACCGGUUUGGAAACAGACUUUUCGCAAGACAAUUUACAAGGUGCUGCAUGGUUGUCGUCAGCUCGUGCCGUGAGGUGUCAGGUUAAGUCCUAUAACGAGCGCAACCCCUGUUGUUAGUUGCCAGCGAGUCAUGUCGGGAACUCUAACGAGACUGCCAGUGCAAACUGAGAGGAAGGUGGGGAUGACGUCAAAUCAUCACGGCCCUUACGCCUUGGGCUACACACGUGCUACAAUGGCCGGUACAGAGAGCAGCCACUGGGUGACCAGGAGCGAAUCUAUAAAACCGGUCACAGUUCGGAUCGGAGUCUGCAACUCGACUCCGUGAAGCUAGAAUCGCUAGU
rnacentral:rRNA from 1 species